UACGGGGGGAGCAAGCGUGGUUCGGAUUUACUGGGCGUAAAGGGCGCGUAGGCGGUCAGGACAGGUCAGUUGGGAAAUCUCCGGGCUUAACUCGGAAAGGUCAACUGAUACUGUGCGACUAGAGUGCGGAAGGGGCAACUGGAAUUCUUGGUGUAGCGGUGAAAUGCGUAGAUAUCAGGAGGAACACCGAUGGCGAAGGCAGCUGCCUGGCCUAACACUGACGCUGAGGUGCGAAAGCGUGGGGAGCGAACGGG
rnacentral:rRNA from 1 species